rnacentral:tRNA from 1 species
GGGAAGGUGGCCGAGCGGUUAAAGGCGAUGGAUUGUAAAUCCAUUAACAUCGUUUACGUAGGUUCGAAUCCUACCCUUCUCA